AGAAUCACAAAACUGAUGGUGGUACCUAUGUGUGCUAACCCAAUCAAUGGGGUUCCCCUGAAGUGCUUGAACACCACAAUAUGCAAAAAGGUACUCAAGCCAUUUGGGAAGCUUGAAGCUCCUGUGCGAAAGAUUCCUAUGAAAAGAAAGAGUAAUACCCAAAAGUCCUGUAACAACAUAGAGUCCAAAAGCAGCCCAAAAUGCACUCCAACUGAAAUAAAAGGGAGCGAACAAACUAAGCAAAUGCAUUGAUAAAACAACACCAGCAGUGCCUAUAUCCAGUGAGUUCCAUUUCCUCCCCCAAAACACGUUCCUUCCUCUCGUCACCACCACGUCUGAUAACAGAAUUCUCCUAAAAUUCUUUUGCUCUGGUCCUGAUUCAAAAACUGAACCAUACGCCAUAGAACAGCUCCAUUGCGCCUUUUCUUGUUUGAAACAGCGAAAAGACCUGAUUUUUUCCGUUUGGAGAUGGUUUUAAACGAUUUAGGGUUACACUGAUCAGAAUUCAGAACUGUAGACGAUAUGUACGAUGCUUUCUCGUAAGAUGCUUUCGCCCGGCUAAUAGGCAAAAAAGGGUAUGGCUUAAAAUUGGUUAAUGGAGAGGUGACUAGAGCCAUUGAAAGAAAAUUGGUUUAGUUUUGUUAUAGAAUUGAGUUUUUCGUGGGGUUUAUAUUGAUGGGUUUUUUCGUUGCCGGGGCAGAGUUCAUAGUUUUAC
rnacentral:misc_RNA from 1 species